CUGGAAGGAUGCUUGUCAAACUGCUGCCAGAGGCAGGUCAUGGGCAUUCUCACUUUAUUCUGUAAACUCUGUGUACAGCAUAACGGCUCAGUAUUUGUACAUGCUGUGACAUGCUCACCGCAGGAAGUCUGGUUGACAUCCAUCACCACUCAUAGGUAUACAUGUUUCUUUCUUGUGAUGAGGACUUUUCAGAUCCACUCUCAGCAACCUUCAAAUACACAACAAACUACAGUCACCAUGCUGUACGUUGCGUCCCCAGGACUUAUUUAUGUUAACUGGAAGUUUGUGUCUUUUGACUCCCUUCACUCAUUUCGCC
rnacentral:lncRNA from 1 species